UGUCUGUACUCACAACGUCCUCAGACCUUCCACUGCCCCAACCCAGCUAGAAAUACAUUUAGCUCCAAACUUUACAAACGCCUCUGGAAGAGAUUGGCUGAAUGGGACAAUAGUUAUGAACAAGAGCUUUGCUCUUCUUCUGUGGACAGACUGAAGCAUUGACUGCAAGGGUCAUAUUACUCAGGCUACAGUUAUCAAAGGGAAUUCCCUUCGCAAGUACUCCUGUCUUUUCUGAUCCAAGCACCUUUAGUUUUGGACUGAGAUCUUGCCUGUCUCCGUGUAUUUGUUGCUUCAAUAAAAACCUCUCUCACCAUAUCCUUCUCUCCCUUGUCCACCCAGUCUCUCCAUGUGGCUCGCUGUUUUCUCUGGGCUUCGGAGCUGUUUGAAAGCGCCCAGACUCCCUCCAGUGGUAGAUUAUCAUGCCGCAUUUCAUUUUCGUAUUUCUUAAACAGACUAGGAGAAAACUGAGACCUAUAAAAGUCCACACACUGGACUAGUCUAUGGGUCUUCUCUAGUCAGAACGACCAAAUACAAAGAACAGUUCAAUCCUGCACACCCAAUACUUUGCAAGAUAUACAGGAGCAGAAGACCCUUUGUACACUUCCUGCAAUAGAGAGGUACAGAACACCAGUAAAAGAUGCAUUUACCUAAGUGAGACAGCAUGUGGGUAAUGUAUACAUGGAUUUUUUUUUGUUGUGUAAUUUUGUGGAAAAGUGGAGAAUCAAAUGAUCACAGAUAAACUGGACUUAAAUAUUUAAUUACAUUUUCUACUAGUUAGAACAGAGGAUGAACCAAAUUGUUUCAAUUCUAUUCACAAUUCUUUCAAUGACCCUGUUUGGCCAUGGCCCUGUACUUAACCUCUCUCAUCCUCUGUAUUCCCAUGUAUAAAAAGAUACAUAUAUAUACAUACACACACACACCAACUUCAGCAGAAUGUGCUGACACUUAAUUCAUUAAUGUUCAUAGAUUUUCAGAUUCUGUUGAGAUCUUCAGUUUCAAGAAGCUGUGUAAAUGCAAACUGAUAAUGAUAUUUUUGCAAACUUUCAUCUGUGUUUUCACCAGGUACUGUUCUCAACAGCUGUUGGACACCACCAAAACCCUGCCUAUUCUUUUACCAAAUUGUUCUUGGAAUUUCUUUAUGCCUUUAAUGAAAGUUAUCAAUAAUCAUUAGCACUCUUUUUAUUUCAACUUCUUAGUACAAAAUCUAUGCAUAUGUCUGAGUUUAACUCACCAACUGGAAAAAAAGAAUGGAACUGUUGAUAGACAUCAUCUGCACAUCUGACUGCUAUUCUGAAAACUUUAAAUUUAAAAUAUAUUAAGAAAGACCUUUGAGAAGAAGAAAGCAGAGGAUUUCCUUGAGCUUUAAACUGACACGUAAGCAUUCUUUUCAAAAAAACUUGAGAUAUAAAGAAUUACAGGGGAGAAGAGUUUCAAAGCCAUAAAUGAGAGUUGAGCACCUGAUUGCUCUUUGGAAAAUCUUUCCAUACAUGUGAAAUUACAUCA